CUUCUUUCUCAUGAAGCUAAGACGUCAGGAGGCCGGUUCUGCUGUCCAACCAGACAGGAAAGGGACCUGAAGGAGAAGAAAGAGAAGGUGGAGGAGAAGGCCAGCCGAAAAGAGCGAAAGAAAGAAGUGGUGGAGGUGCGGAGGGGUCAGGUGGAGGAGCCUCGGAGCUGCCCCCCACUUACCUGCGGGUGGAGGGGGCUGGGUCCUGCCCUCGCUCUGGCCCCUACCACCCUCCCUGCCUCAUCCUUCCGGCCCUCCCAGCACCCCUGCCGGUGGGGGUCCGGCCCUCCCAGCCCCCCUGCCGGUGGUGGUGGUCGAGGCACCCGGGGCCAGCCUGACACUGCUUCCUCUCCCCUCUCCGGGUCCCCACAGGAGGAGGAGAACGGAGCCGAGGAGGAAGAGGAAGAAACUGCUGAGGACGGAGAGGAGGAGGAUGAAGGGGAAGAAGAAGAUGAGGAAGAAGAAGAUGAUGACGACGAAGGGCCCGCGCUGAAGAGAGCUGCUGAAGAGGAGGUUUGGGCUGGAUUGUGGGGCCUGAGGGGCUGUCAGGGAUGCAGCAGGGGCUGGGAGCCCUUUGGACUUGCACCUGGAUCCCUGUGGUGCACGGGCGGGGGCUGGAGCAGGGCCGGGACAGGGGGAGGUCCCUCUCCCAUUUUGCAGCUAC
rnacentral:lncRNA from 1 species